GGCUGGGGGCGGAGCGCGGGCCGCCGCCCGAGUGGCUGCGCCCGAGCAGGAAUUUCAGGGCGGAUGGAGUCCUCAGGCUCCCAAAGUUACCUGAGGCCCCAGACCGGUGUGAGGGCGUGCAGGUGUCCUCUGCGUCUCCUCCACGGGUCCCCGCCGGGGUGGAGGGGCCCGCCUGCCCCUGAAGACGCCCGCAGCACCAACUGCUCCAGCGACUGCGUGGGCUAAUGGGAAGUAACAUUCUUCCAAUGGGUGUCAUCAGUCAGUGAAUUCUAGGAGUUGGCAAGCAACAAUAAAAGUAGCUUAUGAAAGAGCAAGAAAUGAGUAGAGACACCCAAAAUUGGCCAGUAGAAUAUGCAAAUAUUCUCCACGGUUGCCUGUGAAAUUAAGAAAGGAGAAUGUGAAGGGAACAUGCAUAUCUGCAAUCCUGCAAGAGGAAAUUUGAAGAAGCACAACCCCAGAAAAUGUGAACAUUAGAAGAAGAAUCUUAGGAGGGAGAAGGUAUUAGGAAAGAAAACUUGACAGAUGAGAGAUUUUCUCACAGGAUGUCAUAACCGAAAGGAACGUAAGAGUGUUACCUGGGAAAGAAACCAUCAUAGCUGAAAAAUCAAAAGAAGCCAGGUAG